rnacentral:rRNA from 1 species
GAGGAAUAUUGGUCAAUGGACGAGAGUCUGAACCAGCCAAGUAGCGUGAAGGAUGAAGGUUCUAUGGAUUGUAAACUUCUUUUAUACGGGAAUAAACGAAUCCACGCGUGGAUUUUUGCAUGUACCGUAUGAAUAAGGAUCGGCUAACUCCGUGCCAGCAGCCGCGGUAAUACGGAGGAUCCGAGCGUUAUCCGGAUUUAUUGGGUUUAAAGGGAGCGUAGAUGGGUUGUUAAGUCAGUUGUGAAAGUUUGCGGCUCAACCGUAAAAUUGCAAUUGAUACUGGCAGUCUUGAGUACAGUUGAGGUAGGCGGAAUUCGUGGUGUAGCGGUGAAAUGCUUAGAUAUCACGAAGAACUCCGAUUGCGAAGGCAGCUUACUAACCUGUAACUGACAUUGAUGCUCGAAAGUGUGGGUAUCAAACAGGAUUAGAUACCCUGGUAGUCCACACGGUAAACGAUGAAUACUCGCUGUAGGCGAUAUACGGUCUGCGGCCAAGCGAAAGCAUUAAGUAUUCCACCUGGGGAGUACGCCGGCAACGGUGAAACUCAAGGGAAUUGACGGGGGCCCGCACAAGCGGAGGAACAUGUGGUUUAAUUCGAUGAUACGCGAGGAACCUUACCCGGGCUUAAAUUGCAACCGAAUAUGGCGGAAACGCCAUAGCUAGCAAUAGCGGUUGUGAAGGUGCUGCAUGGUUGUCGUCAGCUCGUGCCGUGAGGUGUCGGCUUAAGUGCCAUAACGAGCGCAACCCUUGCCGAUAGUUACUAACAGGUUAUGCUGAGGACUCUGUCGGGACUGCCAUCGUAAGAUGUGAGGAAGGUGGGGAUGACGUCAAAUCAGCACGGCCCUUACGUCCGGGGCUACACACGUGUUACAAUGGGGGGUACAGAGGGCUGCUACCACGCAAGUGGAUGCCAAUCCCAAAAACCUCUCUCAGUUCGGAUUGAAGUCUGCAACCCGACUUCAUGAAGCUGGAUUCGCUAGUAAUCGCGCAUCAGCCACGGCGCGGUGAAUACGUUCCCG